AAAUUGAAGAGUUUGAUCAUGGCUCAGAUUGAACGCUGGCGGCAGGCCUAACACAUGCAAGUCGAACGGUAACAGGAAGCAGCUUGCUGCUUUGCUGACGAGUGGCGGACGGGUGAGUAAUGUCUGGGAAACUGCCUGAUGGAGGGGGAUAACUACUGGAAACGGUGGCUAAUACCGCAUAACGUCGCAAGACCAAAGAGGGGGACCUUCGGGCCUCUUGCCAUCAGAUGUGCCCAGAUGGGAUUAGCUUGUUGGUGAGGUAACGGCUCACCAAGGCGACGAUCCCUAGCUGGUCUGAGAGGAUGACCAGCCACACUGGAACUGAGACACGGUCCAGACUCCUACGGGAGGCAGCAGUGGGGAAUAUUGCACAAUGGGCGCAAGCCUGAUGCAGCCAUGCCGCGUGUAUGAAGAAGGCCUUCGGGUUGUAAAGUACUUUCAGCGGGGAGGAAGGUGUUGCGGUUAAUAACCGCAGCAAUUGACGUUACCCGCAGAAGAAGCACCGGCUAACUCCGUGCCAGCAGCCGCGGUAAUACGGAGGGUGCAAGCGUUAAUCGGAAUUACUGGGCGUAAAGCGCACGCAGGCGGUCUGUCAAGUCGGAUGUGAAAUCCCCGGGCUCAACCUGGGAACUGCAUUCGAAACUGGCAGGCUUGAGUCUUGUAGAGGGGGGUAGAAUUC
rnacentral:rRNA from 1 species